CCGCGGUAAUACGGAGGGUGCAAGCGUUAAUCGGAAUUACUGGGCGUAAAGCGCACGCAGGCGGUCUGUCAAGUCGGAUGUGAAAUCCCCGGGCUCAACCUGGGAACUGCAUUCGAAACUGGCAGGCUAGAGUCUUGUAGAGGGGGGUAGAAUUCCAGGUGUAGCGGUGAAAUGCGUAGAGAUCUGGAGGAAUACCGGUGGCGAAGGCGGCCCCCUGGACAAAGACUGACGCUCAGGUGCGAAAGCGUGGGGAGCAAACAGGAUUAGAUACCCUGGUAGUCCACGCCGUAAACGAUGUCGACUUGGAGGUU
rnacentral:rRNA from 1 species